rnacentral:rRNA from 1 species
CUGGCCGUAAACGAUGGAUACUAGGUGUAGGAGGUAUCGACCCCUUCUGUGCCGGAGUUAACGCAAUAAGUAUCCCGCCUGGGGAGUACGGCCGCAAGGCUGAAACUCAAAGGAAUUGACGGGGGCCCGCACAAGCGGUGGAGUAUGUGGUUUAAUUCGACGCAACGCGAAGAACCUUACCAAGCCUUGACAUUGAUUGCUAAGGACAGAGAUGUCCCGUUCCUCUUCGGAGGACAAGAAAACAGGUGG